AUUGAACGCUGGCGGCAGGCCUAACACAUGCAAGUCGAACGGUAACAGGAAGAAGCUUGCUUCUUUGCUGACGAGUGGCGGACGGGUGAGUAAUGUCUGGGAAACUGCCUGAUGGAGGGGGAUAACUACUGGAAACGGUAGCUAAUACCGCAUAACGUCGCAAGACCAAAGAGGGGGACCUUCGGGCCUCUUGCCAUCGGAUGUGCCCAGAUGGGAUUAGCUAGUAGGUGGGGUAACGGCUCACCUAGGCGACGAUCCCUAGCUGGUCUGGGAGGAUGACCAGCCACACUGGAACUGAGACACGGUCCAGGCUCCUACGGGAGGCAGCAGUGGGGAAUAUUGCACAAUGGGCGCAAGCCUGAUGCAGCCAUGCCGCGUGUAUGAAGAAGGCCUUCGGGUUGUAAAGUACUUUCAGCGGGGAGGAAGGGAGUAAAGUUAAUACCUUUACUCAUUGACGUUACCCGCAGAAGAAGCACCGGCUAACUCCGUG
rnacentral:rRNA from 1 species